GUGGUCUUGGGGAUAGGUCUCUGUAUGUUUUUUUUGUUUUUUAUCACGUAUGAUGUGUGGUUAUAGUCGUGAUAAUAAUUGGUGAUAAUAAUUUGGAGAACUGGGAGGUUCUCUUCUGUGCGUGUAGUAUGAGGAUCUUCAAUAUCUGUUAAUUUGACGUAGAUAUUGAGGUGCUUUUAUAGUCUGGGAUUUGCUCGUGUGACCAUAGUGAGAGUUUUUGUGAAAAUAAGAAUUAUGGGGGUAGUGUUAUGGGUACUUAGACUUGUUUGUGUCAAACUUAGGUGGGGAAUCAUAUCUUUGAAAGUGGGUAGUACGUUUAGG